AGUUUCAUUUACCUAUAACAUCUGCAUCUGGCUUCGGCCAAUGGCCAUGCAGAUGUCGUUAGAUAUCUGCUAAGAAAGAACAGCCAACCGAACCUCACUGACAGCUUCAAGAGAACGGCCCUGAUGAAGGCAGUCCAGUAGGAGCAGGAAGAAUGUGUUGCUAUUCUGCUGGACCACGGUGCCGACCCAAAUCUGGCAUAUGCAGACGGCAACACUGCCCUUCACCUGGCUGUGCUAUCUAAAAAUACAGCUGUAGCAGGGCUGUUACUGGAGCAUCAUGCCAAGAGUGAUGCUCAGAACCAGAGGGGAUUUACCCCCUUGAAACUUGCAGCCUUGCAACAGCAUGAGGAGAUUGUGGAGUGCUUUGUGAAAAAAGCAGCUGACAGGCCUGCUCAAGCCCAGGGGGAAAGGACUGCUCUUAUGGUUACUGGAAGCAAUGAGG